GUUCCCAUUCCACUACCACAUGUUCUCCUAACCAUAAAACGUACGGUCGAUGCUUGCAGGGUAGACUAAAGGUGCCGUGAUCGGUAGAGGGAGGUCUCUGCAGAGUCUUCCUUCCAGGUGAAAUGGCUGACCAGGAAAAU
ensembl:snoRNA